ACAGCAGCCGCCACGGGAAUACGAAGGGGGCUAGCAUUGUUCGGAUUUACCGGGCGUAAAGGGCGCGUAGGCGGACUGAUAAGUCAGGGGUGAAAUCCCAAGGCUCAACCUUGGAACUGCCUUUGAUACUGUUUGUCUUGAGUUCGAGAGAGGUAAGUGGAACUGCGAGUGUAGAGGUGAAAUUCGUAGAUAUUCGGAGGAACACCAGUGGCGAAGGCGGCUCACUGGUCCAUUACUGACGCUGAGGUGCGAAAGCGUGGGGAGCAACCAGGAUUAGAUACCCGCGUAGUCCCUGUCUCUUAUAC
rnacentral:rRNA from 1 species